GACAGAGGAGCCAAGCGUUGUCCGGACUGACUGGGCGUAAAGCGCCCGCAGGCGGCCGUGCACGUGGGGUGUGAAAGCUCGCGGCUUAACUGCGAGAGGCCAUCCCAUACGGCGCGGCUCGAGCCGUCCAGAGGCCGGUGGAAUUGCCGGUGUAGUGGUGGAAUGCGUAGAGAUCGGGAGGAACACCAGUGGCGAAGGCGGCGACCUGGACCUGUGCUGACGCUGAGGCGCGAAAGCGUGGGGAGCGAUCCGG
rnacentral:rRNA from 1 species